GACGAACGCUGGCGGCGUGCUUAACACAUGCAAGUCGAACGGGAUUUAGUAAACAGAAGCCUCGGUGGAAGAUUACUAAUGAGAGUGGCGAACGGGUGAGUAACGCGUGAGCAACCUGCCUAUGACAGUGGGAUAGCCUCGGGAAACCGGGAUUAAUACCGCAUAAAAUCGUAGAAACACAUGUUUUAACGGUCAAAGAUUUAUCGGUCAUAGAUGGGCUCGCGUCUGAUUAGCUAGUUGGUGAGAUAACAGCCCACCAAGGCGACGAUCAGUAGCCGGUCUGAGAGGAUGAACGGCCACAUUGGAACUGAGACCCGGUCCAAACUCCUACGGGAGGCAGCAGUGGGGAAUAUUGCACAAUGGGGGAAACCCUGAUGCAGCGACGCCGCGUGAACGAAGAAGGUAUUCGUAUCGUAAAGUUCUGUCCUAUGGGAAGAUAAUGACAGUACCAUAGAAGAAAGCUCCGGCUAAAUACGUG
rnacentral:rRNA from 1 species